rnacentral:tRNA from 1 species
UGGGGCAUAGCUCAGUGGUAGAGCGCAUGCCUAGCAUGCACGAGGUCCUGGGUUCAAUCCCCAGCACUUCCA